rnacentral:lncRNA from 1 species
GGACAGGUGCCCUCUCUCCCCCACGACCCUUCCCUCCACCCUGGAAAACAUUACCCGGGACUUGGCCUCUCUCUGUGUUUCCCCUCCCACUCCCCAUUCCUUGCAGUUCUGUUAUCACUUCAGGAUCAAAAGUUUGAAACAUUUGGCAUCCAUAUUUGAGAAAAGCUAAGCGAGUGGGUCUCAAAUGUGAGCAUGCUUGGCUCACUUCCUCCUGGACUCUGAUGUAGGAGUGUUCCCAUCACUUGUAACUUUGGGGGUCACUGCCGGAGGGGAGCAGGAUGAGAAUGGGAUGAGGAGGACGUUUGGGGCCAUCACUGGGGUUUGCCCAGGCAGAGUGUGUAUCUUGCUUCCCCAUGUUUCUGCGGGUCUGACCUUCUCUGUGGCUCAUGCAUAUUCAGGCUACAAAUGCAGCACGAGCACGCCCUAUGUUCCAGAGACGGCGUCAGGGACUGUUUGGUUAGGGGGAUGCCUCAAACUUCAAGGUGCAUUAUAACCUCUAGGAGAGGAUAGGAUGCUCUAUCCUUUACUGUGUUAUUUCAGUCCCUAUGAGAGCAUAUCCUAAGAUAGAGUUGGAUGUACAAUCAGUUUGCUGGGGGAACAUCCAUGGAGGAAGAGGGAGGGGGAGCAGGCCAGGGUCUACAUCUGUGAAAAGACAGAGGGCAGGAACAGGGAUUGGACAGGAAGUAUCUCAGAUGGCAGUGCAGUUCCAAGGACAUGUCACCUGCUGGUGAGAGGAGUCUGAGUCUGGCAUGAAUGGUACUUGCUCGGCCACUGGCUCCUCCAGACCCUUGACUCUUGGCAUUGCUUCCGUGGCCUUUUCAGCCAGCCUCUGCAGGAACCAUGGACCACCCUUGAAAGCAAGUAAACAACCAAAGCCCACACUCCUUCCUGGAAGCUGGCCAGGCCCCUGACUCCAGCCCCAUGGCUGCCCUCCCACCUCCCACCUCCUCUUCUCUCAGCUGGCCUGUCACCCUAACCAGGUGGAUGGGGUCUGCCCACUUGGCCAGCCUGCCUCCUCGGCCUGCCUUCACAUGUCUGCUUGAAUGCCUUUUCUUUUCCUUGAGUCAAAACCACAUCUGCCCAUUGCCUGGCCUGAGCCGACUCCCACUUCUUCCAGAAUUUCUUCAGUUCCCACUGACACCCCUGUCCUGGAACUUCUGUUUUGUGCAGGACUGCUGCCGUAAAUUAGAACCUCAUUGCUCUCCAGUUGCUUCAGCUAGUUUUGUUUCUUAAACAAAAAUCAUCGCUCUUCAGUUCCUUUAACUAGUUUUGGUUCUUAAACUAGCUUCCAGGAUAGGUAAGGACAUGAUGAAUCAGUUCUCUCUCCAUCAUCUCUUCCUCCCUCCCUCCCUUCCUUCCUUCCACUUAUCAAGUAUCAUCUUUGCAAGUAGAAACUUAUAGGACUUUUUUUUCCAAAUUUAUCGGUCACCUUCAAGGUCUCUGCUGUUGGCAAAGUUGGGGUAUUUUUUUCGUCUCCAACUAGCCUGAUCUUGCCAUAUCUCUUUCUUCCCUGGGACCUCCAGUGCCCCUUUAUCUGGCCUCCCCAAGUUAAUCACUAUUCUCUGUGCCUGGAUUCACGUCAAGGAACCAGUGACUAGUUCCAAAAGGUGAUUUCUCCCUAGGGAAAUUCUUGAUCAGGUCCCAAAGAGUCAAAAGGAUAAAAUUCUAACGGAUUUGAUGCAUAAUCUAGACACUGUACCAUCCAGUACAGUAGCCAGCAGCCACAUGUGGCUAUUUAAAUUAAUUAAAAUAAAAAUAUAGUUCCUCAGUUCUGGUAGCCACAUUUCACCCGUGGCUAAGAGUGACUGUAUUGGCCUACAUGGUUAUAUUUCUGUCAUCACAGAAAGUUCCCUUGAACAACGCUGAGAGAAGGAAAGGCAUUUUCUUAAAAAGCAGGUGUGAGGUGGAAUUCCCCUCACAGCAACACUGGAUCCUUAACCCACUGAGUGGUGCCAGGGAUGAAACCUUCAUCUGCAUGGAUACUAGUUGGGUUCAUUACCACUGAGCCACAAUGGGAACUCCUACAAUUGUUUAUUUAAUGCUUCCCAUUACCCAUUUCUAUUGCCCAUGGGUCUUGAUGGGAAUGCAGGAAAGAGGAAGUGAGAACACUAGAAGCCUGCAUGCAGUCUGCAUCUCUCCUGGUUCAUGGUUUCUGAGGGCUUUGCCUCUUGGUAUGGUCCUAGCAUGGCCUCUCCACAUCCACUGCCUCUAGUAGGACAACACAGUCCAUUCAGAUCUGAUAAAACAGUGCUCCUUGCUUCCCUUGGCAGGUAAGACAGAUGCUCUCGGUAGGGCCUUUUUCCACAAGUCCUAAUAGUGCAGAAGUUGGACAGACCCUAUUAUGUAUGGCCUUGCGCUGUUGGUUUAUGAUUUUAAAGUUGAUAUCUAUUUCCCUGCCCUAGGAAAGCAAAAGUGUACAUAGUAUAAUGAAGCAGUGGUGCUGACUGGGUGGCCCAUGGGUUUGUAAGCAGCCCUUGAAAGUACUGGGCAUGGUUGUAGCCUAAUGUCUAGAAAGCGUUUUAAAAGGCAGUGUGACUCAUAAGUUCAUUAAAUCCUUUCCUAUUUCAGUUUUCUGUGUGGCCCCUGUAGGCACUGGCAUCGAGACCUCGCUGCUGUUUCUUUGGCUAUAACGGUGUGUGUUGCUUUUCCAGGUGGAAACUCUAAAAAUAAAGAUCAUCAUCAACACACACACACACACACACAUCCUUGUAACUCUCUGCCUCCCAUGGAACCUAAUGAAGUAGAACUUGACUAAUAGGUAUUGGAGGUUGCUUAGUAGUACCAUGCUUUCCAAGCUGUGUCAUUCACUCACCUCUUAGAUGACUUUUGUCACACCCCUAUACCACUUAUGCUAUCAUUUGAUGAACACUUGUGUUUAAUUUGUCUCAAACGUUAGCUUGUAUAAACUUAUUUUAAAAGAAAACACUGCAUCUGUACCACAAAUGGAAAGCCAGCAUCACUUAUGGUAAAUGGAAUGUAACUGCAAAAAUAAUUAUUCUGAAAACAAAACUAUGUCAUUCACCUAAAAAUUAAAGUAAACAAGGAAAUGCAGAGUAAUAAAAAUCAAAUUGACUCACAAAAUCUAAUUGAUUCACAAAAACAAGAUCCCCAGUGAGAAAAGCACAAUGGCUUAUGAUCAGCCAGUAAUAAGAGGAUGUUAAGCUUGAUGUCAUUUGAUUUAACAUGGCCAUGGAUUUCUAUGUCAAUCAAAUUAUAAUGCCUUUUGGUUUUGAGGGUGACCAGCACUGAGAAUCCCACCUCAAGUGAGUCCGUAGUCAAGAAAGGACACCUUACCGUUGUCUAGAUAGUAAGUUUUUAAAAAUUAAAAUGUUUUAGUAUGUAUUUUUGGCACAUGUAAAAGACAUAUAUGCAUUUAUAACUUCAUGUGAUGUUAUGAAACAUAAUUAUGAAAUGAAGCCAAGAACCUAGUCCCAUCUUAAGAACAUUAUUAAUACCUAUGCCCUUAUCUCUGAUUCCCAUCACUUCCUUGGAUGCCUCCCCCUCUCAGGUAAAAAUUGUCUUGAAUUUCUUUAUGUGUAAAAAUAGUUUAACCUGGAGUUGCCGCUGUGGCAUGAUGGAUUAAGAAUCUGACUGCAGUGGCUCAGGUCGUGUGGAGGCUUGAGGUUUGAUCCCCAGCUCAGCUUAGGGGGUUAAAGAUCCUAGGUUGUCACAGCUUUGGCUUGUAUUCAAUAUCCCUGGCCCAGGAAAUUCCAUAUGCCACGAGUGUGGUCACUGAAAAAAAUAGUAGUUUUACCACCUAUGACAUUCCUGAAUAGUAUGUUAUUUAGAUUUGCUUGAAUAUGGUCUUUAUAAAAAUGUUGUCAUACUGUCACUAUCUUCUAGGACACUGGAUGGUCAGUUACAGUGUGUGUCUACAACAGGGUGUUAUGCCCAGUGAGGUGAAAAAUGAACACGUUCAGACCUCACAUGGCCACUUGGAUUAAUCUGCAUGAGGCAGGACUCCCAUAGGCAGGCCAGUCCCGGCUUUCACCUUAGGUGGGAUUUAGGGGCGGGUGGAAUGAAAAGGACUCCCCUUCCUCCACCUGUCACACCCCUGUUACUUCUUACAGAGAAAAGAGUAGAGCUGCCUGAGGCUACUCUCCUUAGAGGGCCUCCUUUGGCUGGCACGUGGUAGCUUGGGUUUGGGGAGGGUCCCCCCCUUCCCUGGUAAGAAUGACUCACUUUGCCUAAACUGUCCAAACAGUGUGCUUCAUGCUGACACCUGCUUUCCUCCUGGAAGUCAGAACUUUGGCACAUGGCAGGCAGAGGUGCCCCCCUCACCUUCCCUGGGCACUGAGUCUCUGAUGAGCUUCCCUGGGAGAUGGCAUUUCACGUGUUUUGUUGCAAUUCAUUGUUGGGGAAUGAAGUGCCUCCGGUGAGACUCCACUGUGCAGAGGUGCUUGGAUGCUCUGCCUGCUUUCCUGGAUGUUACCUCUUGCACCUUUGUCUUUGCUAAUUUUUUGUUGUAUCCUUUUGCAGUUAUAAAUCACUGCUUUGAAGAUUACCGUAUGUUGAGUCCUGUGAAUCUUCCUGGGGACUGGCCUUGCAGAUCCCGACAUUCCUCCAAACUUUCUUUUUGCUGGCAAGCACAUUGAGACUCUGAAUGGAGGGGCCUUGGCUCUAGGCCUUACACUUUGGAGGGCCCUGAAUCUCCCCCCUGCCCCCCCCCCGCCGGAGCUCAGAGCUGGUCUAGCACAAUCUAUAACCUCAAAGACCAACUCUCAUAAAUAUCAUCAUGUAGGUCCCAGAGACACCUUCUGUACAUCUCUUGCCUUAUGUGUUGGAAAACCGCAUCAAACCCCGUGAAGGUGGUGUGCUGUACAUGUCCAGCAAUGUCAGAGUCAGUCACCGCCUCAGAGAGCAGGAGGAUCUGAGCCGGAGAAGUGCUUGGGUAAGAGAAAAGGUGAAUUAAUUAACUUGUCAAAUCCUUCCUCUCAGCUUGAAUGCAAUAGAUUCUUGUAUAACAAAUUAUUGCUUCUCUUCUGUGCCAAACAUUCAUUUUCUAGCUUCUCUUCAUGUUCCAAUUCCUGGUUCUGGAGAUAAGAAUUAAACACUUGUAGGUGGAUACAGAAGCAUAUUUUACUACAGUAAACAAUUCAUAUUACUCUGAAAUUUAUACAUAUGCAGCUAAGAGCAAGUAUGGGUGAAGUAUGACAUGAGUUCCUUAGGUUGGCAACUAGAUGGACAUCGAAUCAUAGAAUUGCAAAUUGUGUUAUUUUUAUAAAAAUAUUUAAUGUCCAAGAAAUUUUAAAGUUUCAGCUUUAAGUAUAUUUGAUUAAAGUAGUUUGUAUUCAUUAA